UACGUAGGGAGCAAGCGUUAUCCGGAUUUACUGGGUGUAAAGGGCGUGUAGGCGGGAAUGUAAGUCAGAUGUGAAAACUAUGGGCUCAACCCAUAGCCUGCAUUUGAAACUGCAUUUCUUGAGUACUGGAGAGGCAGACGGAAUUCCUAGUGUAGCGGUGAAAUGCGUAGAUAUUAGGAGGAACACCAGUGGCGAAGGCGGUCUGCUGGACAGCAACUGACGCUGAGGCGCGAAAGCGUGGGGAGCAAACAGG
rnacentral:rRNA from 1 species